rnacentral:rRNA from 1 species
CCCUAUGGGGCGCAGCAGGCCAAGGCCAUGGUCGAGACCUUCAACAAACGACUGGCCAUGAUCACCGCCUCGCUGGGGGCGAUCCCCAAGGAAAAGCGCAAGCGCGUCUACUUCGAGGCGAUCCACAAACAGAUGAAGACCUUCGCCCCCUCCUCCAUCGCCAUCUUUGCCCUGGAAUCGGCGGGCGGAAUCAACCUCGCCACCGAUGCCGAGCAGAUGCGCGAAACCACCAUUGCCGCCUACGGCAAGGAACGGAUCAUCGCCAAGGCCGAUCGGAUCGACCUCUAUCUGGCCCAGAGCGGCCGGAUGAACCCGGUGAGCGUCGACGAUAUCGUCAAGGAGCCGGGUUUUUCGGUGAUCAAGGCGGUGCGGGGGGGC